rnacentral:rRNA from 1 species
AGUUUGAUUAUGGUCUGUUGGAUUGAACGCUGGCGGGAUGCUUUACACAUGCAAGUCGAACGGCAAAGACGGACUUCGGUCUGGGUGGCGAGUGGCGAACGGGUGAGUAAUGUAUCGGAACGUGCUUGCAGGGGAUAACUACGCGAAAGGUAGCUAAUACCGCAUACCGGCCCUUCGGGAAAGCGGGGGACCUUUCGGGCCUCGCAAUUAUUAGAGCGCCGAUAUCGGAUUAGCUAUGUUGGUGCAACGGCUCACCACAGCGACGAUCCGUAGCUGGUUUGAUAGGACGCAUCACAGCCACACUGGGACGAGACAUGCCCAGACUCCUACGGGAGGCGCAGCAGUGGGGAAUUUUGGACAAUGGGGAAACCCCGAUCCAGCCAUCCCGCGUGUGCGAUGAAGGCCUUCGGUUGUAAAGCACUUUUGGCAGGAAAGAACGGCACGGGAUAAUACCCCGUGCAACUGAUUUGGUACUCUGCAGAAUAAGUACCGGCUAACUACGCCCGCAGCCGCGGUAUACGUAGGGCAUAAGCGUUAAUCGGAAUUACUGGGCGUAAAGCGUGCGCAGGCGGUCUGAAAGAAGAUGAAAAUCCCAGAGCUUAACUUUGAACCGCAUUUUUAACUAACAUGGAUAGAGUGGUCGAGGGAGUGGAAUUCCGCAAAAGGCGCGAAAUGCGUAGAUAUGCGGAGGAACACCGGAUGGCGAAGGCAGCCUCCUGGGAUAACACUGACGCUCAUGCACGAAAGCGUAGCCAAACAGGAUUAGAUACCCCAGUCCACGCCCUAAACGAUGUCAACUAGCUGGGGCCUUCGGGCUGGUGAGGCGCCAACGCGUGAAGUUGACCGCCUGGGGAGUACGGUCGCAAGAUUAAAACUCAAAGUUGAAUUGACGGGGACCCGCAGCAGCGGUGGAUGAUGUGGAUUAAUUGAUGCAACGCGAAAAACCUUCACUUACCCUUGACAUGUCUGGAAUCCCGAAGAGAUUUGGGAGUGCUCGCAAGAGAACCGGAACACAGGUGCUGCAUGGGCUGUCGUCAGCUCGUGUCGUGAUGUUGGGUUAAGUCCUGGCAACGAGCGCAACCCUUGUCAUUAGUUGCUGGGCUUAGGCAGCACUCUAUCGAGACUGCCGGUGACAAACCGGAUGAAGUGGGAUGGACGUCAAGUCCUCAUAAUUUUUAUGGGUAGGGUCAUUGACGUCAUACAAUGGUCGUGACAGAGGGUCGCCAACCCGCGAGGGGAGCCAAUCCCAGAAACCCGGAUCGUAGUCCGAUCGCAGUCUGCAACUCGGACUGCGAAGUCGGAAUCGCUAGUAAUCGCGGAUCAGAGCACAAUGCGGAAUACGUUCCCGGUCUUGUACACACCGCCGUCACACCAUGGGAGUGGUUUACCAGAAGUAGUUAGCCUAACCGGGGCGAGGCGAUUACCAGGUAGGAUUCAUGACAAGUAGUCGUAACAAGCGUAG